AUGUUGGAUGCUGAAGAUGACAUGCAAGGGUUGGUGCAUGAUGCAUUCAACGGGUUUGGUGAGAACAUACAUGAAAAUGAAAUAGGGACACAAAAUGAAAGUCAAAUUCUCGGUUCUUUCUUUUAUCAUUAGACUAUUUCAUAGUAAGUGUAUUGGGAAAUGUAAUGACAAGGGUUUCAGCAUGAUGCUUGAUACAUUGAGGGAAGCCUUCCCAUAUGCUUCCAUACCGAAGUCAUUGUAUGACCUAAGGAAGAUAAUAAGAGAAUUAGGACUUAGUUAUGAUAAAAUUGAUGCAUGUCCUAAUGAUUGUAUGCUGUACUGGAAAGAAAACAGUAAGAAAACAAAAUGUGAUAUAUGUCAUACGUCAAGGUACACAGCAAAUGAAAAUGAUCCUGAUGAUGAGUUAACCAUACCUGAUACGGAUAAGAAGAUUAAGAAGAUUGGAGCAAAGGUUUUACGUCAUUUUCCGCUCAUACCACGGCUGCAAAGGUUGUUUAUGUCAUCUAAAACUGCUGCCUCCAUGAGAUG
rnacentral:lncRNA from 1 species